rnacentral:rRNA from 1 species
GGAUUGGCGUGACGGUCAUGCCUUAAGGGGUAUGAACUGUUACUGUUGAUUUCUCACCUUCUGGAGAAACUUGAUGUCCUUAAUUGGGUGUCUUGCGGAUCCAGGACCUUUACUUUUAAAAAAUUAGAGUGUUUAAAGCAGGCAUUUUGCUUGAAUACAUUAGCAUGGAAUAAUAGAAUAGGACGGCAUGGUUCUAUUUUGUUGGUUUCUAGGAUCACCGUA